GGACCAUCGCAGAGUUAAUGAGGCCAUCAGGAGCUAGGGAACAUCACCCAAUACCUACAAUUGCGGAACUAACGGAUGAUAUGAAUAAUGCGGCUCAUUUUUCUCGCUUACAUUUAAAAAGUGGGUACCAUCAAAUUGGAUUUAGGAUUUAUUACAAAUAUUAAAAGCUCUACUUCCAGCGAUUACAAAACUUUUGGCAAAUUUGUGAGUUCCACACUUAGGUAUUAAGAGUUUAUCAUUACCACUACGAAGAGAGUAAGAUGAAACGCCAAGCAUAUACCCAAUGCAAAUUUAACGAUAAAGCCGCGCUCCUUAAUCAAUAUAUGCGCGUUGUGCCUGAGCCGAUUGUUGGAAGCAUACGGGUUUUGCGCAACCAUCUGUGUCCCCCUUUCUACCGGACGGGGUCCAUUUCAACAGAACGCCGAGAACGGGUCAAUAUAGGCUCUAUCGCAGCUAUCGAGGUGCUAUAUUACGCGCACAACGCAUGUUAUAACAUGUUAUACAUAGAGUGUCAAUUUUAAUGUUGCUAAUUAUUAUAUUAUUGCCGACAUAUCGAGGAUAUUUCGUCCUCUUCGGAGGAUUUCUUCCCCAAUUAUGGGAUAUUUACAAUUAUUCCACCUUUGAGGUGUUUUUACCAACCUCUGUUGGCUUGCAGUUUAGAUGUUUGGCCACUCAGGACAGGAUACGCGGCGACAUUCCACUGUCUGCUAUUGCCUGAUCCUGUGAAAUUUCAAUUUACAGUUUAAGUGUGUUUCCUACAUGCGCGAAAUUUUAAUCAGUAUACGUUUGUUAUGUUUUUUCUAUUCUUCGCUGGGCGCAGAUUUUUCGUUGAGAAUGCCACCAAAGCGAUCCUCGACUCGUAAACGUGGCCACAAUGCUGGGCCGUCCACUUCUGUUGACGAAGGUCCGUCUACACGACGUAGUCGACACCAUUCAACGUACAUACUUCUUUGGCUUCUCAAGGCGAUAAUAAUGCCCAGCCACGGAUACCGCAACACGUCGCAGAACUACCAACAGCUCCAACACCAAGUGCUCUAGUCCAGCUACCGCCCGGCCUUGUCGAUUCCAUAGUCUCGACGGUGACAGCUGAGGUGACUAAACAACUGGCGCAAAAUCUGCACGCCCUACCACAUGCAUCGCCAAUGCAGUUGUCUGCAAGUCAUGCUUCAAAUAUGGUGAACGACGCAAUAACUGCGGCUCACUCGCAAAUUACAGUGAAUGAAAUGCAAGCAGAGAAAAUGAAACCUCAAGAACAGCUCACCCUGGAAUCUUACGAAAGAGAUCAUGCUGUUGUCGUUGGAAUUUACAGACCUCCACCAAAGAAAGCUGCAGCCUAAAAGAUCUAUCACCCGAAGACUCUUCCAAUACAGGAACAGAUUCAUCAACU